rnacentral:rRNA from 1 species
UACGUAGGGGGCAAGCGUUGUCCGGAUUUAUUGGGCGUAAAGAGCGUGUAGGCGGCCAGGUAGGUCGGUUGUGAAAACUCGAGGCUCAACCUCGAGAUGUCGACCGAAACCAUCUGGCUAGAGUCCGGAAGAGGAGAAUGGAAUUCCCGGUGUAGCGGUGAAAUGCGCAGAUAUCGGGAAGAACACCCGUGGCGAAGGCGGUUCUCUGGGACGGUACUGACGCUGAGACGCGAAAGCGUGGGGAUCGAACAGG